rnacentral:lncRNA from 10 species
GGAGAAAGAGGUUUCUUUUUGGGGGAAGACGCCAGAACAUGGCCUAAAAGAACAAUAGGCACCCUCUCUCCACCAGCCAAUCCCAUCCCACCCCACCCCCUGCUGCCUGUUCCCCGGUGAUGGCUGAAGGCACAGCCAGGAGACAGGGACAGCAAGAGCCCAGGAGAGGCCUGGGGAGUGCGUCCUCGCAGCAAGCUGAGGGGCCACCUCCAGACCGGGCUGCGUUUGGCCCUCGCAGAGCUGCUCGGCUCUAAGCCACUGCAUGCAGUUGGCAGAUUCCUAGAAAACUGCAUUUGAAUUAAAGUUUUAUAAUUUAAUCUCCAUUUGAAAUGCCUUGGAGAGAAUCUGUUUGGAGGGUGAGGAAGAAAGGAUACUUCGCAGCAGUAAAUACCGACUCUCUCAUUCAUCUGAUUCCUAGCGGUGGACUCGCCUGCGCCGUGGCGGCCCUGUUCAUGGACACGUUCACAGGCAUGUUCAACAUCCCUAGAGUGGCGAGAAGAGUUAUUCCACAUUUCCAGUGAGGAGGCCCAGGCUCAGAGAAGGGCCCUGCCCAUUGCCUUCCGCCUCCCGCCAUGAUGCUGAGGCCUCCCCAGCCACGUGGAACUGUAAGUCCGAUUAAACCUCGUUUUGUUCCCAGUUUUGGGUAUGUCUUUAUCAGCAGCAUGAAAAUGGGCUAAUAUAGGAAACAAAGUGCCUGGCCUGCAGUAACCAUUCAAUCCGCAGGAAUUACCAGGCUUGCUUGUGUUUAGAAUUGCUGGGAUGGCAGCGUGGUUAAGAGCUUGAAUUCUGGAUUUGGACUCCCUGGGUUCUAAUGCUGGAAUUACCUCAUGUUAGGUGGGAAUUUCCAAAAAUUUCACGUAAACUCUCUGAGCCUUAGUUUCUUCAUCUGUAAAGUGGGGUUGAUACACCUCCCCUCUGGGGCCAGGUAAGGAUUGAGUCCAGUAAUUGGUAUAAGCAUCAAUUCUGACAUACAUACAGUAAGUGCUCAAUACAUGCUUGCUGCAUUGAUUCUGAAAUACAUACAGUAAGUGCUCAAUACAUGCUUGCUGCAUCGAUUCUGAAAUACAUACAGUAAGUGCUCAAUACAUGCUUGCUGUCAUGCUUCAUCUCCCACUUCUGCGUUUACUGUCAUACCUCUUCCAUCACCCAACACCUGGAUGGUGGAUGCCUGGGUGACCUCACAGGACCUGUGGCCCCC